CCAAAGACUUCAUCUGCAAAAUCGUGUAUUUUGCUUUUAGGUAUAAAAAGAUUGAGCCAUGGGUGUGGAACUUCCCACAAGCCUUUUGACCGUAAUUUGACUUCGGACACAUGCACCCUGUCCAGGAAUUCUAGGAAAUUUACCCUGAUGGUGGGCCGUUGCACGCCUACCUGAUUUGCUACUUCUGUCUCGUCUAGGUGGAAGUAUUUGGCCAAUUCCAGGCAGAAGAGUGUCCUUCCAUCUGAAUUGAACCGGCUGGCUUGAACUGGGUCUUGCGGAUUAAAUGAUGAUCUCCAGUUAUUCAGCAGGCCGGUCCUGUUUAUUAUCACAAAUCCUUCAACGUGCUGGUUCCAGCAAUAUUCUUGCUCGGGUUAUAAUGCCGAACUGUCCAAGUCCUCCAAGAACACCGUGAAAGAGGUCGCCAUUCUGCUUCUCCGAACAAGUUACAACCUCCCCUUUUCCUGCACACAUUUUGGCUCCACGUUUCAGCUUUCAUGCAGGAUAUUUAUCCACAGCUCACCACCAGAGACAUCCACAUAUGGAGAAUUUCCAGUGGAAACCUGCAUAUCUGGCCCUUGGAGCGAUUCCAUGUUAAUCACAAUUCCUCGAUGUGCUUGUGAUUGGCCUUGGAGUGAGUGGCCAUGGCCUCUAGCUGCAACUGUGAGCCCUGAAUGAGGACCCAUCUGCCAAAUAUGCUUUAUAGUAGUGGUGAUAUCAGAAACUGACUUUGGAUGCAGUACUGCUGCUGGGAGGAACUGGUACCUGUUGCCAAAAUCUCUGGCUGCAAGGUGAACUUCGUCAAAGUUGAAAUGCCCAUCAAGGGGAAUUGCUUUUAAUGUAGAAGGGAUGCUGGAAAAACAAAGGUUUAUUUUGAUAGUUACACAGCUUAAGAACAAGAUCAUGAAGCCUCUUAUGAGAAGAAUGUUGUUUGGUCUGAGGAAGCUAGCUGGUGGGUAUCCCAUAUUUUUUGUUUCGUCAGAAGAGAUGGGGGAAGCAAAGGUGAAAGGAGUUUAAUCCUAUAACUUUGUUUCUUUGUGAGCAAAAGCAAAAGGAGAGGCCUGGAAGAGCCAAGGAAAUGAAGGGUUGGGGAGAGAAUUUAAAGGGGAAGGUUUGGUUGGCUAAGUCAACGUAUCUUCAGUUGUGAGAAUCCGUAUGAAGACUGCCUACUUGGGUGGAAGAGUUUUAGAAUUUUCUUUUAGUUCUCCUUUUUAAGCCCUUAUGUAUAUAAGAGAAGCAAACACAUAUAUGUCAAGUUGGAGAGAAAAGUCGAAAGAAGAUUGCACAGAUCUUUGCACUUUUUCUAACAGUUGCAACCACAAACCCACCUUUUCCAUCAAAGACAAACAUGUCUCGUGUAUUUUUUCAUUAACCAUGUUAAGGAUCGUUUUCCCUUAUUUAGAAAAAAUAGUCUCUCUACCAGAAGGUGUAUUUUUCUGCCUCUGAUGACCUGUGUGCCCAUACCCGUGUCUUACUCACAUGAAUGAUGAUUGUAUUCUUUUCUGAAUCCAUUGUUGUCGGAAUGUUGACACCGUGAAUCUACAUUCAGAUCGAAUGAGAGAGACUAGCGGGCCUGCCUUGAUUCAAUUCACAGGGGGAGAGAUGGACCAGUGGGGUAUCAAGGGUCCAUAGAACACGUGAAAUUCAAAUGGAUGAUGUGUGCUUUGUGGGGGGAAAGCCGAUGAUUGGUUAUGUUGGGACCCUUUGGGGCCACAGUUAUUGUCUUGGAGAAGAGUGAACAUGGGGAUUACAGCAGGGAGGAAGCAGUACUGAAAGAUUGCUCUUUUGCUUAUCUUCUGCUAUUGCUUUGAUGCCUUAGUUCCCAUCAAUCGGACAAGUUUGAAGGAUUCUCUUGUUUAUAUGUUUUUAUGUGCAAUCAAAUGUUUUUGUGCUCUUAUGGCAGAUUCUCUUUGUUUAUAUGUUUUUGUGCGCAAUUAAAUUACUCUAGUGCAAUUACCACUUUUCCACUUUUUGCUGCAACUUGUGUAUGAGCCACCAAUAGGAAAUCUGCAACUGCAAGAGUAAGCAGCAUCUCCCCCUUUUCCCUUUUACAGGCAAAUUAAUCUGUCGCCUCCUGCGCUUUGGCCUCAAAAUGCUUGUAUGCUUCCUCUGUUCUUGAAAGUAAACUGUGUGCUGUAAUGGUUUUUA